rnacentral:rRNA from 1 species
UACAGAGGGUGCAAACGUUGUUCGGAAUUACUGGGCGUAAAGGGCUCGUAGGCGGCCAACUAAGUCCGACGUGAAAUCCCCAGGCUUAACCUGGGAACUGCGUCGGAUACUGGAUGGCUUGAAUUCGGGAGAGGGAUGCAGAAUUCCAGGUGUAGCGGUGAAAUGCGUAGAUAUCUGGAGGAAUACCGGUGGCGAAGGCGGCAUCCUGGACCGACAUUGACGCUGAUGAGCGAAAGCUAGGGGAGCAAACGGG